rnacentral:lncRNA from 1 species
AUGUCUCGGGCACUUUUGGAGACAGGUAACACCCAAACACCACGGUUAGCCAAACAGCUCUUCAGACAUCACGCAAGUUUGGUAGCCCUGGGAGGGUCCCAUGGAGCCCUGUGCCACCAACAUGCCAGGAAGAAGCCAGUGGAUAGCCAGCUGCUUUGCAUUAUUCAGGUGGAAGAAGGAACAAAGUCAUUUUGGUCUGGAAUACAGUGGGAGCUGCAGGAGCAGGGACAGCACACUGCUUCAGCCUCAGUCAUGACGUCCCUGAGAGGUAAUACUUGUGAGAAGCAGGAAGGUGUGAGGGAAUCAUACGCCCACACCAGACAAACUCACCUCCCUGUCAUCAUGUGCUCACUGGCCACGACUGGAAUGAGCACGUCACGUGCAGGAGAAAUCAAGGGGAAUACAUCAUCUAGUGCACACAGUGAGGAGAAACCAGAACAAACCUCCCCUCUUGCCUCUCCUACAUCAUCUUGGACUUACAAAAGAGGCUCACUUCUCCCUGGCUGGGGCUGCCAGCACUUUGCUUCAAGGUAG